AACGCUGGCGGCAUGCUUUACACAUGCAAGUCGAACGGUAACAGGCCUUCGGGUGCUGACGAGUGGCGAACGGGUGAGUAAUGCAUCGGAACGUACCCAGAGGUGGGGGAUAACGCAGCGAAAGCUGUGCUAAUACCGCAUGUGAUCUGAGGAUGAAAGCGGGGGACCGAGCAGCAAUGUUUGGCCUCGCGCCUUUGGAGCGGCCGAUGUCGGAUUAGCUAGUUGGUGGGGUAAAGGCCUACCAAGGCGACGAUCCGUAGCUGGUCUGAGAGGACGACCAGCCACACUGGGACUGAGACACGGCCCAGACUCCUACGGGAGGCAGCAGUGGGGAAUUUUGGACAAUGGGCGCAAGCCUGAUCCAGCAAUGCCGCGUGCGGGAAGAAGGCCUUCGGGUUGUAAACCGCUUUUGGCGGGAACGAAACGGUGUCCGCUAAUACCGGGCGCUAAUGACGGUACCUGCAGAAUAAGCACCGGCUAACUACGUG
rnacentral:rRNA from 1 species